rnacentral:siRNA from 1 species
UGAAGUUGUGGUCCUAGCAAAGUA